rnacentral:tRNA from 1 species
GGAUGUGUAGCUCAGUAGUAGAGCACUAGUCUAGCAUGCACAAGUCCCUGGGCUCAAUCCCCAGUACCUUCA